GAUGAACGCUGGCGGCGUGCUUAACACAUGCAAGUCGAACGGUGAACGAGGGAGCUUGCUCCCUCCGGAUCAGUGGCGAACGGGUGAGUAACACGUGAGCAAUCUGCCCCGAACUCUGGGAUAAGCGCUGGAAACGGCGUCUAAUACCGGAUACGACGCGCGAAGGCAUCUUCUGCGCGUUGAAAGAAUUUCGGUUCGGGAUGAGCUCGCCGCCUAUCAGCUAGUUGGUGAGGUAACGGCUCACCAAGGCGACGACGGGUAGCCGGCCUGAGAGGGUGACCGGCGACACUGGGACUGAGACACGGCCCAGACUCCGACGGGAGGCAGCAGUGGGGAAUAUUGCACAAUGGGCGCAAGCGUGAUGCAGCAACGCCGCGUGAGGGACGACGGCCUUCGGGUUGUAAACCUCUUUUAGUAGGGAAGAAGCGAAAGUGACGGUACCUGCAGAAGAAGCACCGGCUAACUACGUGCCAGCCGCCGCAGUAAAAC
rnacentral:rRNA from 1 species